AACAUCGCGCACCUGCGGGAACCUGCGGAAGGAUCAUUACCGAGUAAUCCUGCUUGCAGGAACUCCCACCCUUGUGUAUUGGCAGUUGCUUCGGCGAGACGCUGGAAACAGCCACUGGAGAUCUGAAUCGGAUCUCCCAGUGCGGGCUCGCCGAAGAUGCAUACUCUAGACUGUGUAUGGUCAGAAUAUCAAGCAAAUAUAUCAAAACUUUUAACAACGGAUCUCAGAUCGGAAGAGCAC
rnacentral:misc_RNA from 1 species